UUAAGAUACUAAGAGCAUACGGUGGAUGCCUUGGCGAUAUCUGCCGACGAAGGACGUGACAAGCUGCGAAAAGCUGCGGAGAGAUGCAAAUAAUCGGCGACCCGCAGACAUCCGAAUGGAGAAAUCCGGCUGUGAUGAUGCACAGCCAUCCAUGCCCAAGAGCAUGAGAAGGGAACCGGGCGAACUGAAACAUCUAAGUAACCCGAGGAAAAGAAAUCAAACGAGAUACCCCAAGUAGCGGCGAGCGAACAGGGAAGAAGCCCAAACCGGUGAAGGAAACUUUACCGGGGUUGAGGACCAUCAGACCCGCGAAGAACCUUAGCCGAAACUGUUGGGAAACAGUGCCGAAGACAGUGAAAGCCUGGUAGGCGAAAAAGAGAAACGCGGAGAUGGCACCAGAGUACCGCGGGACACGAGAAAUCCCGUGGGAAGCAGGGGGGACCACCCUCCAAGGCAAAACACAGAUAUCGACCGAUAGCGCAUAGUACCAUGAGGGAAAGGUGAAAAGCACCCCGGGAGGGGAAUGAAAGAGAACCUGAAACCGUAUGUUUACAAGCAGUCGGAGACCGCUUAAUAAUAAGGUCGACGGCGUGCCUAUUGAAGAAUGAACCGGCGAGUUACGAAGCCUGGCAAGGUUAAGCAGGAAAUGCGGAGCCGAAGCGAAAGCGAGUCUUAAGAGGGCGCAAGUCAGGAAGCGUAGACCCGAAACCACAGUGAUCUACCCAUGUCCAGGUUGAAACACAGGUAAAAAUGUGUGGAGGACCGAACCUAUAUCCGUUGAAAAGGGUUAGGAUGAGGUGUGGGUAGGGGUGAAAUUCCAAUCGAACGUGGAGAUAGCUGGUUCUCCCCGAAAUAGCUUUAGGGCUAGCCUCAGGGAAAAGAUUGCAGGCGGUAGAGCACUGAUCAGGAGAGGGACCUACCCGGUUACCAAACCCAGUCAAACUCCGAAUGGCUGCAAUCAUACCUGGGAGUCAGACUGCGACUAAUAAGGGCCGUAGUCAAAAGGGAAACAGCCCAGACCAUCAGCUAAGGUCCCCAAUGCCGUGCUAAGUGGCGAAGGAUGUGGCAUUUCAUAAACAACCAGGAUGUUGGCUCAGAAGCAGCCACCAUUUAAAGAGUGCGUAAUAGCUCACUGGUCGAGAGACGCUGCGCCGAAAAUGUCCGGGGCUCAAGCACGGAACCGAAGCUAUGGCAUGAUAGCAAUAUCAUGGGUAGGGGAGCGUUCUUAUAAGGAAGAAGCAUGACCGGAAGGACAUGUGGACAAAUAAGAAGUGAGAAUGCCGGUAUGAGUAUCGAAAAGAAAGGUGAGAAUCCUUUCCACCGAAAGCCCGAGGGUUCCUGAGCAACGAUCGUCGACUCAGGGUAAGUCGGGACCUAAGCCGAGGCGGAAAGCGUAGGCGAUGGACAACAGGUUGAAAUUCCUGUACCGGAUCAAGUCGAUCGAGCGAAGGAGCGACGCAGGAGGGCACAUGAUCGCGCGGCUGGAAGAGCGCGUCCAAGUGCGUAUGUUGCAGCAGAGGAAAACCCCUGCAGCUAAAAGCAGAGACAUGAUGGGGAGUUAAAGGAAACUUUGACGAACUCAUGAAUCCCACACUGCCAAGAAAAACUUCUAGCGAGACAAGAUCCGCCCGUACCGUAAACCGACACAGGUAGGCGGGGAGAGAAUCCUAAGGUGCGCGGGAAAACCCUCGUUAAGGAACUCGGCAAAUUGCAUCCGUAACCUAGGGAGAAGGAUGGCCCCCGGUCAGUGAAGAGCAGAAACGCUCAGAGCUAAAAGGGGCGGCAGAAAAGAGGCCCAAGCAACUGUUUACCAAAAACACAGGUCUCUGCUAAAUCGAAAGAUGACGUAUAGGGGCUGACGCCUGCCCGGUGCCGGAAGGUUAAGAGGAGAGCUUAGCGCAAGCGAAGGUUCGAAUUGAAGCCCCGGUAAACGGCGGCCGUAACUAUAACGGUCCUAAGGUAGCGAAAUUCCUUGUCGGGU
rnacentral:rRNA from 1 species